rnacentral:lncRNA from 1 species
GGUCUUAACCCUUUUUUUUUUUUUUUUUUUUUUUUUUUUUUUUUUUUUUUUUUUACAAAUCUACCACCAAGAGAGAUUAUCGGCAUCGAGACUCAAACCUAAGCCUUGAACAAUCUUUACCAACUCCUCGUUCGCUUAAACUAUACAUAAACGGAUUUAAAUUUAAUUGCAAAGAGAGAACCCAAUGCCCUAGUCAACUUGACAACACUCAUGUCCGGGAGUUCUUUUUUUUAUUAUUUAUUUUAACCUUUGCGAUUAUAAAAUUGUAGAUAGUAAAAACUCUUAUUAUUAACAUUUGUAUAGUAAAAUUUGAAUUUUAUGCUUGGCACCAAUCUGAUUUUAAACAUUGGAGACCAGUGACCUCUUAACGCAGUAGUUUUCUCUGUUAUUUUUUAUUCUAGCUAUCUAAUGAUCCCUAAUCCAUUCAUAGCUCGGGGCUACAUGGAGUUCAGUGGAGGACAUACUUAUAUCGCAAAUCGUCCUAAUGAACCACCGUGUCUUCUCUCUCGGCAAAAAAUUUACCACGGCGACACACUCACUACACAUUGUUUUGGGAAGACAGUAUAAAUAUUACAAGGUAUUUUCAAGAAUAAUCUUAUAGAGUAUAGAAAAUAUAUUCUCAUGGAGUAGAAAAAUAUUACCUAUUCUCAUAUUAUCUUAUCCAAGCGAGGUUUGAAAACAUAAUGUCUAUCACAAAGCCUGAAAAUACACCGGGGAUGAAUUCAACGUUGCCUUCGGUUCAACAUUCAGUAGGAAGCUUGAUUCAGAAAUCAGUUGGAGGCUUUAACCUUAUCAAUCUCUUGAUUCUAUCCUUUUCUGUAUUUUCCAGCAAUCCCUUCAAAGUACAGGAAAACAUAUGUCAAAGAAGAUAAAGUUUAUGAAGUAAAAGGUUGGGCAGCAACAUUAUUCUUGGCUGCCUCAGUUUUGGCUGCUAGAUUUAUUGGAUUUAUUGCUUUCUUGUCAGUUACAAACUGUUCAGCCUCUUGGGAACCUUUCAGUGUUAUAAUGACCAUAACUUCUUCUAGAAAAAUGAUAUUAACAAUCUGUGAAAUGCUCCAGAAAAUAGACAUCUUUAGCUUUCCAAGAAUAUAAGGCUCAUUCUCUAAUUCAUUCUGAACUGUUCGCAACUUGCUUCCAAAGUCAGCUGAUCUGCACAGGCAGUUUUGACGAAUUUGUUACUUCAAAUCCCACUUGUGCUAUUUUUCUUUUCUUUGCUUGACAAAUCCCACAAAACACAAAAACGAAGUAAAUAGCUCAAAAAUAUAAGGAACUAAUUAAGAAAAGAUAAGUAAAUUUGAUGUAAAAUAUAUAUAAAUCUGAGCUUAUCAAAUACCCCCACACUUAGCUUUUGCUAGUCUUUGAGCAAAACAAAGAAACAUGAAAAAGUAGCAACAUGACAAACAUUAGCUUCCCCUUAUGUAACCCUCAUAGAAUUUCAUUCAAGAAAACAAAUCAUCAAGAACCUUAGCUCGCACCAAACAAGCUCAUCUUCCUUAUUCAAAUGUUAGCAGUAACCUUUUAAUCAUCCUUGAAGUGUAGUGUGUGUAAUAGCCAUGCUAAUGCAAUUUCAAGUUUUUUAAAACACCACAUGCAAACUAGUGACCUUCUCACGGGACAUAUACUCAAUCACACAUAUGUUUAGUUUAACGUGUUUCGCUCAAAGAAUCAAAUGUGAAAGAUCUACCAUAAGCUUGCACAAAGAUCUCAUCUCCACAAUCAUAAUUGCAAAACUUAAAUCAAGAUGACCUUUAUUGGAUAUAAUGAGGCUUAGGGAGAGGGUUAUAGAAAUGAAGGGAUAGGUAAACACAAGUUCCAAGCUACAUUGCAAGCAAUUCUCUUGUUGAGAUUUAUAAGAACUCAAGCUCUCCAACCACUCUGCUAAUACCUCCAAACUGAAACUUAAAAAACUUUUUAUUUGCUUUGUAUACAAUUUUUUUUUUCGUUUUCUUCUUCUCUUUCUUUUUUUUUUU